UACAGAGGGUGCGAGCGUUAAUCGGAAUUACUGGGCGUAAAGCGUGCGUAGACGGUUAUUUAAGUCGGGUGUGAAAGCCCCGGGCUCAACCUGGGAAUUGCAUUCGAGACUGAAUAGCUAGGGUACGGUAGAGGGAAGCGGAAUUUCCGGUGUAGGCGGUGAAAUGCGUAGAUAUCGGAAGGAACAUCAGUGGCGAAAGCGGCUUCCUGGACCAGUACCGACGUCAGGCACGAAAGCGUGGGGAGCAAACAGGG
rnacentral:rRNA from 1 species